AACUGUUACUUAACAGUACAGUUCAUUGUGUUUGCCAUCAACGAAGGUUAUGUGGAACUCGGAAGUAUCUGGCAAAAAAUAUACAAACGCAGUGCUAGUAAAUACUAAAUCGAAAGUUAAGAGACCUGUCUGCAAACUGAAAAUAAAGAAGAGAAAAAGAAGACUUUACUCAAGUCGGUGUAGUGUUGAACAGUGAAUAUGAUUGGAUUAGUGUUGUGUAUUUUAGGGAAACUAUGUGAACUGGCAAGAACUACAAAUUUAGGCGUCGUUAAGGAAACUUUAAACGUUAAUUAUGUGGAAAAAUCUAAAAGGAAAGGAAACAGGCAACGUAAAAGACGACGUAGACGACGAAAAGGGCCACCGCCGCGGCUGGGCCUGAAGGCGGCAAGCCCCGGCGUCGACGAGGACUGCAACAGCAACACCAGCCUCGCCGGCAGCCAGCACUCGGCCGACGACCUCGACGCUCACUGCGACAACUCCGGCUACCUCUGGUUCCUCGACUACAACCCGAUAUUCCGCGACGGCUCCUGCCACCACACGUCGGUGCUGUCCUCCGUGUCGGCCUCCUACAAGGGCAUCAGCGACCUCGCCUCCCGCUUCGAGUUCACGUCGCGCUACAACGACAUCGCGCGCGACCUGGACGCCAACCUCGCCGAGGCCGACAUGGAGAGCUUCAAGACUGAAGACAUCCACGCCCUGCUCAUGACUGCCAACCUUCCGCACGACACCAUAACCGAUGUCCGAACGCAUGACAGUAACCCGCGAGGCGAGAUGUUCGCCAGCAUCUCGAGUUCUCUCAUGGAAAAGUUUCGGUUCGACAGCUCUCUCAGUGGCAACAGUAGUUUUCAGGGCGAAGAGUCCGUCGGUUCCAUCAACACGAUGUCGAUCUGCAAGUCGGAGCUGCUGUUCUCUCCGGUGAAGGAGCACGGCGUGCACUUCAGCGUGGACAGCCUGGACUGCUCGCUGCCGGCGGAGCAGGACCUCAUCCUGACGUGCCAGGCCAACAAGGACAACUACACCAUCGCUUUCGAGGGCAGCCUCACCGUUUACUCCGAGGACAGCGAGUGUCACGAGUUUGCCGUCAAUCAAAAACAUGACAAAUUGGAUAAGCAAGAAGAUAAUGCAACGCUAGAUGAAAGAACACGCAGGAAUUUAGAAUUAUUAGAAAGAUGUAAGAAACUAACCAAUAAGCUAACUACUUCUAUGGCUAGGAGCGAUUUAGGAUUAACUACUUGGAGUAAGCUUAAGAAACAGACCAACCAUUCGCCUUUAAGAAGGCACCCUUCAGGGAACAACAAUGAGGAUUCACAUGAAGCGACCGAUGCCACAAGUGAUAUGAGCAACUCGGUUAUCAAGAGCCAAAGUCUGCCAAACCUGUACAGAAGGAAGAUUAUGAGCAGUUCCAUCAACUCGGCUGCUCUCAGCAACUCAACGGUCGACUCUUUCACCACCAAUCAAAGGUUAAUGGGUACUCCGACCUGCAUGAAAGUGUACGAUGUAUCGCAACACCGUUCUACGCACGGAAGUCAGCAUUCGGAACCAAUGAGUACCUCCUCUACCGAAAACCAGUCAUCUUCAGACAAAAGUCAACCAAAACAGGCCUUCAGCCUGGUAAAACUGUUUAUGAAACAAAAAAGCAAUGAUGGCGUAGUAGGAUUGGAUCAAAUAGACAGGUCAGAAUGCUGGCCAUCUAGCUCCGGUGGUGAAAGUGGAGACUCUAUGGGAGAGCCAAAAGAUGACUCCAAAAUGUCAAUGCGUUCUCAAAUGGAAUUGCCAUGUGAUGUAGCGGAAGAGGGUUCAGCAAUUUACGAUGAGAUUCCACCUAGCAACCCGUACAAUAAUAGAGUUUAUGACGAAGUAAUAGAAGAAGAAGACAAUGAUGGCGUUAAAUUAAGCGAUAGCGAAUCCAACCUUUAUGCAACAGUAAACAAACGCCACUCAAAGAGAACUAACGUCAAUAUGGUGAAUAGUCCUUCAAGACUGAGAAGUAAUAAGAAAUCAUAUUCUUCCCAAUCGUCGAACACUAGUGUUAGUAUAUCGAGUUGCUCUGAGUCAGAUGGAACCCAGAUUACAAAAAUGAAUCGAUUAUUGCAAAGAGAGCCUUUUGAUAACAAAUCUACGUCUACUCAUCUCGAGACCACCACUAUUGACAAAAGUAUGCAGACGUCCACGUUACAAAUGUCGAACAUAUCCCAUGAACGUGAAAUAUUCAAGGUAGUGGAACCCUCGUUUCUCGAGAAACUUAAAGAAGGAGACUGCGAGAAACCUGUGUUUAUACUAUACCCUAACUACACGCUUCCCGAUAUAAGUUUUCUGAACGGCAGACCAAAUAUUUACCUGAAUCCUGUAAAAGUAAACGUCUCGCCUAAAUCGAGCGAAAUCAAGAGGAACAGACUGAACGUUAAAGGUAAACGACCAUUUUCUUGCAACGACGUGGAGAUGCUAAAAAAGAAGGGGCUCGGGCACAUAAAAGAUUGGGAUUCACUAAACUUUUUGCUACCCACAGAAUGCAAGCAAAUGCUAUCAGAGUUACCCGAACUGAUGCAAAACGUAAGAGAAAAAGAGUGCGGAACAAAAUGCGAUAAAUACUGUAACGCGACACCUAAAUCCAAGGGCAGGCCUAUGAGCUGCGACUGCAACAACCUGGCCGGCCACAACACCACCGUGUCGUCCAGCUCCAGCACCGCCACGCAGCCCUCGUCCGGCUACCGCGGCUCCUCCACCAUGCUCACCGACUCCUCCGCGCAGCCCAGCCCCGCGCCGCACGGCACCUUCAACCCGCUCUUCGUCUACCGCUACGACAGCGCCACCAGCUCCGAGGCCAGCCACACCGACGGCCACAGGACCAAGCGCUCGCUGUCGGCGGCCGAGCAGGCUCGGCACGCCAAGCAGGGCGAGCACGCCCCUCCGAGACCCCCCCUGCCUAAAAGCAUUUUGCGCAAGUCGAUGGACAAAACGCGUAAAACGAGCACGCCGUCGAAACGUUACAGUAUGUUCGAAAUGGACGAGCUUUUGCAGGACCCCAUUGUUUGUAUGACGGCUGCGACUGAACACAAAACGAAGAGAAGGUCGCUGCAGGAACCUUAUUAUUUACAAAACCAGACCACAGAAUAUAGGAAAAAUAAUGAUUUAGCAGCCAAAAGAUUAUCGCAGCAAUUUCUCGAUGCGGCCGAAAAAGAUGCCGACUAUAAUGAACUUUUCCAAGAUGAAGGUGUCGGUACAGAGAGUAGCCUAGAAUCGGGCAAAUCGAAUGAAUUGAAAUACCACAGGCCUCAUACGCCCCCGAUGCCUAAACCGAGAACAAAGAAAACUGAGUACACGGAGUUCCCUCCACCAGGCGCUCUGAUCAGCAGCGCUGAUCUGCAACAAUUAGAAGAGUUUUUGAAAUUAAGCGGCUUUAAUUGCCAAAAUAUGGAUGAGUGGGACCAAAAUCAGGUCCAAAAGGGUAAAAACUUGGCGGAGAUACCAAUUUGUGAAGAAGCUGAAAUAAGCCCAGAUGAAUUCGGCAGCCCGUUACACCACGAUAGCAGAGGGAAAUACGACUUGAUUGAUUUGUCACAAAAGAGAGCCUUAGUCUCAAAUGUAACGGACGCAGUGGAAAUGUUGAUCCAACACUUCUCCUCGGCCACUGACCAAGCUGAGUUGGCCUUCCUAGGAGACUCUAAACAGUCUCCUGCCUGCGCUAAAAUUGCCCUAAAUGCCCUUUGCCCGGCUUUAUACGCCGUUUUCAGGGACGGCCUGAAGGACAACAUUGAAACCUCCUUUGGAGCCGUAAACAACUCUGUGUGGCAAAUGGUCGAGACUACAGCAAGACAGGGGCCGAUAACAAAAUCCUUGAACGAGUUGGUGUUGAGAAUCAAUAGUGAGGAUGCUGUCACGGAGGGGCUGGUUAAAUUCAACGCCUUCAUUCUGGGACUAUUGAACGCGCAAUCGGUGGACGCGUGGGUAUCAUACGUGCGCACACGAGAGUCGGUGCUGAGCAAAGCGUACAACGCGGACUCACUUCUACUCGCCGGGGUGCAGUCGCCGCGCUGCCGCGCCCUGCUGGAUUCACUGCAGGCCGCGCUGGAGCCGCUGCGGCUGCUGCCCUUCUCGCUCGACCUCAUGUUCGAGAUGCGGGAGUUGCACCGCAGCUUCAAGAAGAUCGAGAGUGACAUGCGCGCUGCUAGUCGGCCUACCUCGAUUAACACCCCACCACUAACACUGAACCAGCGGAAUCUACUGAAACUGGUGCGCUCCAUGCAAUCGAGCGGGCUUUCGAGCGACGACUGUCAAACCAGCGUUAUUAUGAGGCACAAGGAGCCUAAAAAUAAGGAGCCAUCCACCCCGGACCUUCUGAACGACUCCGCUAACGUAAAGACCGCGGUAGAGAAAAACAGACCCCGCUCCUGCGUGAAUCCUUCGGCGAUAGGGUACGACCUGUGUCCGAACAACAGCAGGAUAGAGUUAUUAGAGAACAACCGGCGCUGGUCCGGGGUGCAGCUGGGCUCGAAGCUGAUGCAGGCGUUCGACCGGCUGGUGUUCGACGACAGCGACGACUACACGGACAGCCUGGAGACCAACAAGCCGGCGCGGCCCGCCGCCGCCGCCGCCGCCGACUCAAGCUGGAGUGCAGUGGCGAAGAAUGGCGGCCAGGCUCGGCCAGCAGCGGACAAAGCGCGGCGGCCAGCGGCCACUCAGGUGGCAAGUUCCGCAAGCUGCAACUCAAGUGGGAGCUGCUCAGCAACGCCGAGAGCCCCUCUUCACCAUCUGGAGAAACAUCCCCCGCAGCGACGCGCGGCUCUAAAAUUCCGCGGCCCGUGUCGUCACCCGUGCGGCCGGCGGCGCCCGCCGUCACCGAGCCCGCCAAGAAUGCCCACAGGGGCAUCCCGGUGCCGGUGCGCAAGGGCACAUCCCCGACGGCGAGCACCGCUGCGCGCACGCCCGCCAGAGCCACCUCCGCCAAGCGGCCGCAGCCCGCCAACAGAACUUUCCCCGAAGCCGUGAAGAGAGUGGUCGCCAAGAACAAGGAAAAGGAAGCUGUUAUUUGCAAACCGGUUGCUAGGAAACCCGCACCGCCGCCGACGUCGCGAGUGGACGGGCUGCACGCGUCGCCGGCGCCGCGGCCCGCCUCGCUGCCGUACGGCCGCGCGCCGCCGCCCGCCGCGCCGCGCCGCGCCGCCUCCUCCUCCGCCGCCCGCCACCACUCCGCCACGACGCAC
rnacentral:misc_RNA from 1 species